GAAAUGCGAUAAGUAGUGUGAAUUGCAGAAUUCAGUGAAUCAUCGAAUCUUUGAACGCACAUUGCACCCCUCGGCAUUCCGUGGGGCAUGCCUGUUCGAGCGUCAUCUACACCCUCAAGCUCUGCUUGGUGUUGGGCGUCUGUCCCGCCUCCGCGCGCGGACUCGCCCCAAAUGCAUUGGCAGCGGUUCCUUGCCCCCCUCUUUGCGCAGCACAUUGCCAUUCGAGGCGGCGGCGGCCCGCGUCCAACAAGCUCAACCCCCCCGUCUUUGACCUCGGAUCAGGUAGGGAUACCCGCUGAACUUAAGC
rnacentral:misc_RNA from 1 species